CUACGGGUUGCUCCAGUGAGGAAUAUUGGACAAUGGAGGCAACUCUGAUCCAGCCAUGCCGCGUGAGUGAAGAAGGCCUUAGGGUUGUAAAGCUCUUUCAGUAGUGAAGAUAAUGACGGUAACUACAGAAGAAGCUCCGGCUAAAUUCGUGCCAGCAGCCGCGGUAAUACGAAUGGAGCAAGCGUUGUUCGGAAUCACUGGGCUUAAAGCGUGCGCAGGCGGACUUGAAAGUCAGAAGUGAAAUCCCAUGGCUCAACCAUGGAACUGCUUUUGAAACUUCAAGUCUAGAAUCCGAUAGAGGUUAGGAGAAUUCCUAGUGUAGAGGUGAAAUUCGCAGAUAUUAGGAGGAAUACCAGUGGCGUAGGCGCCUAACUGGGUCGGUAUUGACGCUCAUGUACGAAAGCGUGGGGAGCAAACAGGAUUAGAUACCCUGGUAGUC
rnacentral:rRNA from 1 species